rnacentral:rRNA from 1 species
CUACGUGCCAGCAGCCGCGGUAAUACGGAAGGUCCAGGCGUUAUCCGGAUUUAUUGGGUUUAAAGGGAGCGUAGGCCGUGGAUUAAGCGUGUUGUGAAAUGUAGACGCUCAACGUCUGAAUUGCAGCGCGAACUGGUUCACUUGAGUAUGCACAACGUAGGCGGAAUUCGUCGUGUAGCGGUGAAAUGCUUAGAUAUGACGAAGAACUCCGAUUGCGAAGGCAGCUUACGGGAGCACAACUGACGCUGAAGCUCGAAGGUGCGGGUAUCAAACAGGAUUAGAUACCCUGGUAGUCCGCACAGUAAACGAUGGAUGCCCGUUGUUAGUUCACUUAUGAAUUAGCGACCAAGCGAAAGCAUUAAGCAUCCCACCUGGGGAGUACGCCGGCAACGGUGAAACUCAAAGGAAUUGACGGGGGCCCGCACAAGCGGAGGAACAUGUGGUUUAAUUCGAUGAUACGCGAGGAACCUUACCCGGGCUUGAA